AGCCUUCCCUGAUCAUGGAGUUCUUGGCUCUGCUCCUCUGCCUGCUGGCAGCUCCCUGCUGUGUCCUGUCCCAGGUGCAGCUGCAGGAGUCAGGACCUGAUCUUUUAAAACCUUCAGAUACCCUGUCCCUCACCUGCACAGUCUCCGGAUUCUCUCUAACCAGUUAUGGUGUACACUGGAUCCGUCAGGUUCCAGGAAAGGGGCUGGAGUGGAUUGGUGUUAUGGGGUAUAGUGGAAGUACAGCUUAUAACUCAGCCCUUCAAUCACCAGUGAGCAUCACCCGGGAAACUUCCAAGAGCCAAGUUUCACUAACACUGAGAAGCCUGAGAUCUGAGGACACAGCCAUGUAUUACUGUGCAAAAGACACAGUGAGAGGAACUCCAUAUGAGCUCAGACACAAACCUUCCUGCAGAGGGCUCAGGACAACAGGGGGUGCACAAGACACACCACACUCUCUGGAGGCCUAG